GACGAACGCUGGCGGCGUGCUUAACACAUGCAAGUCGAACGGAAAGGCCCUGCUUUUGUGGGGUGCUCGAGUGGCGAACGGGUGAGUAACACGUGAGUAACCUGCCCUUGACUUUGGGAUAACUUCAGGAAACUGGGGCUAAUACCGGAUAGGAGCUCCUGCUGCAUGGUGGGGGUUGGAAAGUUUCGGCGGUUGGGGAUGGACUCGCGGCUUAUCAGCUUGUUGGUGGGGUAGUGGCUUACCAAGGCUUUGACGGGUAGCCGGCCUGAGAGGGUGACCGGCCACAUUGGGACUGAGGUGCGGCCCAGACUACUACGGGAGGAAGCAGUGGAGAGUAUUGCACAAUGGGAGGAGGACUGAUGCAGCAACGCCGCGGGCGGGAUGAAGGCAUUCGAGUGGUAGACCGCUUUCGCUUGUGACGAAGCGUGAGUGACGGUAAUUGGUAAAGAAGCACCGGCUAACUACGUG
rnacentral:rRNA from 1 species